AAAAAAAUGGCCGCCUAAAUACCUGGUUAUAUGGGAACCACCCAUUUGACGGAAACGGGUAGUUUUGACCAAUCGAUGAAGUCCUAAUAUUUUCCUUUUCGUUUGCAUUUUGUUUCCCAGUUUCACUACAUUCAGGGACGCAAAAUAACUGGAAAAUACUAUAAUGAUUUGGCUCCAAGCCAAUAAACAUUGCGUAAGAAGUAAACAGUUGAAGCGAUCGGUCAGAAAUUAAAUAGGACUGACAGUUUUAAAUUUGAUAUGGGCAACCAACCGAUCUGUCAACAUAACACUCACGUGAGCAACGGUUUUGAUGUUGAAGUAAAGGUCACCGUCACUCAUCCGGGCGGCCGGAUUGACCUUAUUCAUGUUGCUCCAGGAACAACGCGGACCGUACCUACAAAUUACGGAACUGUUACAAUAUCCAUUUUUGAUCCGGCUUGCCCUGGUAAUGAAUAUCCAUAUGAAAGCAUAAAUUUACCGUCUGACCACAGUGUUGUUAUCCGGAAAAACGAACGUGGAAAACCAAAACUGAGAAGAGUAAGGUAUGGAUCAAUCUGGCAGGACGUGGGAGACGCAGAAAAUUUGUAAACGAAUCUAUAUGAACAUUGCUAAAUAAAAUGACUGUUUGAUAUUUGUCCGUCUUUGAUAAGUUUUAGUAUUCUAUAAAUAAAAUCAUAAUGUCAUUGGACGGCAAAGUGUGUGAUUCUGAUCGUGAAAAAAAAGUUGUAAAUGCUAAUUUGCGAGAACUUCAAAAAACUCUCUUCAAAGUUUACUGCUAAGAAUAUCAGAAAUGCCAAAUUGCUGAAAGAACAUUAGGCAUUGCAAAGAACACGGCCCAUGAGAUACUGCAAGAAGCGAGGACUAAUGCAACUGCUGAUUCUUCACGGGCACUGAAAACCUGGGAAGAAACAGCAGAGGAAAGCUGUAAGCUUCGUAAUCUUCACUUUGACCAAACAUAACAAAAAGCUGCUUUGGUAUUUUCUAAAAUUCUGAAGAAAAAAAAUGCUGAAAGAGCAAGGAUUGACUUUCCCGAAACUUGUACAAAAAUAUACUUCAAAUGUUUUUAUAACAACAGGAACGGAACCUGCUCCUUUUGCAACACUCCAAGCAUUGGAAUAACAAAAUAUUAUGGAAGGUAUUCUUGAAACAUCUGGAAGAGAACAAAGCAAAAGCUUAACUUCCUAGGCAAGUGGUCAGGUCGGGUUGAUAUUGCGCUGAUAUUAAUUACGAUAGGAAUAUCUAUAUAUGUUAUCAGUGAAGCAGCUAAUCCAACCCUUGAGUCAGCCAAAACAGCUGUAUCUUAAGGAUUAAGGGCUGCUGGUUGUUAUGCAGGUGCAUAGUGGAGCAUGCGGAGGACCUGUAGGGGUCCUUAUUGGAGUAAUAGUUCGGAGGAAUAGAAUGUGGAUUCUUGCAAGUUUUAGUGGAGUAUCUUUAGUAAAUAAUUUAUACAAUGCCUUCUUCCCCUCCUCGGUCCCAGGACCAGGGCCUCCUCCAUUCGAUUUUAUUCCAGUACUUUACGGUCAACCUUAUUUAAUUUGUGUUCCUGUUGUUGGACCUCCUAAAGUACGUGGUGGUUGUCGGUUUACCGAAACUAUGGCCGCAUUAUCAUUUGAAAUUUCUGGUCGCGACUUUAUGUCUUAAGUAUUGAGUGUUUUUUAUUCAUUAUAAGAAGAAUGUUCAUUGUGCCAAACAAUACAUGUAGAUACCUACACAAAAACCCCGUUAGAUAAAAUAUAUACCCUUUUCUCGUUAUUCCGAACCCCUUAACCGGUAUUUCAGUUCUUAUCGGUAACAGAUUUAAGUUUCACAAGAGUUUUUGAUAUAGUUUGAUACUCCAACAUCUAAACUUAAAAUAUCCCCAUGAAGAAAAAAUCUACGGGUUGUUGUCAAUGAAUAAUCCAGGCUUUCACAUGAUGACCUCACCCUCUGAAACAGCCAGGUGCUUUCUCGUUGAUCCGAGAAUUGUGAUCAUUUGUAACAGCUCUCAAAUACUCAGGCUUUUUUUUGAAAAAGUUCAUUUUUAAAAUUAAGAACAGAUAUAUAAUUGUGUUUGCAGAUAAAAAUGUUUCACAAUAAGUGGUAUCUGUUUCCUAUAAAAAGGUUAUAUAUUACCCCAGUGAUUUUAGAUAAGCAAAUUUUGUGCCAAAAUUUUCUGUUGUGUAUAUUUCUAUUUAAUAAGAGUAAUACUAUUUGCUUUUUAUUCUUGUUUAACUGUCUUAUGAUUUGCCACAACAUGCGUGGAAAUUAGAAACAGGAAAUAGCUGCAAGUGCAAAUUUUCCAAAGGCUUUGAUAAAUGAGAUGGCUCAGAAUUACGAGAAAGAGGCAUUAAUUGUUGAGUGAAUAUUGUAUGUCAAUCUGAAUCCUAUGCGAGUCAUUUCAGUGCAAUGGAAAAGCAAUCUAUCUAUAUAACCUGCAAUACAGGAUAUAGAGAAUCUGUCAUUGGUGUUCGGUUAAGAUCAGAAAAUCCCAACCCUCGGGCGCACCGCUCAAGUCUUAAACGAGGCUGUGCCGAGUUUAAGACUUGAGCGGUGCACCCGAGGGUUGGGAUUUCCGAUCUUCACCGAACACCAAUGAUGGAUUCUAUUUCUCACUUACCACAACAGAAACAAUAAAAACAAGCAUGAAAAUAUGAAACUAUUUAAAACGCGGGAAAUUGACGUCCGUAAGCAGAAGUGACGUCAUGACAUUUCAGUGACGCACAAUAACAAAGUUCCGCCUUAGUUUUAUCGUUUGUAGCGUAACGGUACGUUCUUAUCAUAAAGUAAUGAAUUUUGAAUCGAGAAAUACAGUAUAAGGAACGGAGAGAAAAGAUAAAGGUACCUGAUUUUUAAUUAUUUUACAUAAAUAAUAUGUAUAUUCAGUGCAUGAAGUAGUCCGUCACAGGAGUGUGGGAUAACCCAUGUGAGAUAAGAUUUUCCAGCAUUUCUAAAAAUAGAGAUUUUUCUGUCCGAUAAGUGAGAAAACACAGUAUUUACUCGUGUUUCUAUAUAUUUGUCACAUACUUUGACGAAUAUAUAUAGGCAGCAAGACUCUUCUCUUCUCAUCAGUAGCUAUAUCAACAUAUUUCACUUUAUCUUCACUUUAUGAAAUUCUGUGGGUUCUAACGUUUUUAAUUAACUGCCUGUUUCUGAUGAAUUUCACAACAGAAAAUGUCAUGAUAAUUUUUCGAAAACAUUUCCUGAUUUGAUGUUUACAUGUUUUUCUUUUUCAAAUCACUGAUCACAGAUCAAUUGAAACUCUACUGAAAUCUUUUUGCGGUAAUUAUACAUCCUUUUUCCAUGCCUAGAGGUAAUGUAAAUACAUAGUUUGUCUGAGUGAAAAGUACCUAGAAUAAAGUUUUAGCGGAGUCGUCUCCAUGUUUUCUCAAAUGUUUUAUCCAGGAUCAUCUUUUUUCAACUGAAAUAACCCCUUUUCUAGGAAAUGAUGUUUACAGAUUUAUUAAUUACUUUUUCCGAUUUUGAACUUUGAUGUAUCUAAAAUAAGUGCCUACUUGAAGCUUGUAUAUUAGUAACAAUGCCUAAUAUAUAUAUUGGACAUAAUUUGAGAGGAGUAUAAAUCUAUGAGGGGACACUUAGGAAGCCAAGCAAUAUAUAGCAGACUCCGUUUGAUUCAGUAUAUUUAGAGAUAAUGAUGUAGAACACACUUCAUGCUACCUAACGCCAUUAUACAGCUAUAUGGAAUGGACUCCUUGAUACCGAAUGACCAGAAAUAACAAUAUUGUAUUUUAUAAAACAACUGAAAUUUAUAACAGCUUUAAUUUAAUUAACAUGGAUAGAUUCUCUUUCAAUUUUGUAAAUAGAAUCAUCAGAAUAUAAAAGUGAAUGAAAUGAUAAAAUAACAAAUUAAAACUGUUUAGUGUGUGUCUUUCAAAACAUUCUGUAAAUUUCCUACUGUAUAUUGCAUUUCUGCGAAUGUAUGUGGAAAAGAUAUGUUAAUGUAGCAGAGUCAAGUUGCACUUGUUAAGAUUUGAUUUAUUAAAUAGUAAUAUCAUA